UACGUAGGGACCGAGCGUUGUCCGGAUUCAUUGGGCGUAAAGAGCUCGUAGGCGGCUGCUCAAGUCGAAUGUGAAAACUCGAGGCUCAACCUCGAGCCUGCAUUCGAUACUGGGCGGCUAGAGUCUGGUAGGGGGAUCUGGAAUUCCUGGUGUAGCGGUGGAAUGCGCAGAUAUCAGGAGGAACACCAAUGGCGAAGGCAGCUCGCUGGGACGUGACUGACGCUGAGACGCGAAAGCGUGGGGAGCAAACAGG
rnacentral:rRNA from 1 species